CACCAGACUCCUACGGGAGGCAGCAGUGGGGAAUAUUGCACAAUGGGGGGAACCCUGAUGCAGCGACGCCGCGUGGGUGAAGAAGUAUUUCGGUAUGUAAAGCCCUAUCGGCAGGGAAGAAAUUGGACGGUACCUGACUAAGAAGCCCCGGCUAACUACGUGCCAGCAGCCGCGGGAAUACGUAGGGGGCAAGCGUUAUCCGGAUUCACUGGGUGUAAAGGGAGCGUAGACGGCAGGGCAAGUCUGGAGUGAAAGCCCGGGGCCCAACCCCGGGACUGCUUUGGAAACUGCCAUGCUAGAGUGCUGGAGAGGUAAGCGGAAUUCCUAGUGUAGCGGUGAAAUGCGUAGAUAUUAGGAGGAACACCAGUGGCGAAGGCGGCUUACUGGGCAGUAACUGACGUUGAGGCUCGAAAGCGUGGGGAGCAAACAGGAUUAGAUACCCUGGUA
rnacentral:rRNA from 1 species